UCUGACUUUAUAAAAACACAGAUACACACAGAUAAAAUAAUAACCAAGUGUUACUGUGGAAGCGCUGGAAGGGGGAGAGGAGUGCUAAGCUGGGGUUUUAUUGCAAAGUUGUAGCCGGCCUCAAAGAAGGGGGGUACAGAAACAUUAAGCUAAACUUUGGUGGGAGGGGGCAUGUGUCUCCUUUGCCUCACCCCUUGCUAUGGCCCUGUACUGUGGGGACCCUGGAAGGGGGUGAGUGUUACUGUGGGGACCCUUAAAGGGGGUGAGUGUAAUUGUAGGGUCAGGCAGUCAGACAAACUGUGUGAUCUUUUUCACCUUAAGAUGUGUAGGACUGGGGCUAGCACAUGUGCGUCGGUUCCAAGUACUCCCGACAGAAAGCAGCUUUUGAUUAUUAUAACACCAGAGCUAAGGAGGACAUUAUGUGUCAAUUUAUCAACGGGCUAAAUUCCAAGCUGAGGGAGAUACUGGUCCGUCUAGAAAAUUUGUUAAAAACCCCCAUAGAAACAGUAAUCAAAAGGAUUGCUAAUCAGGAAGAGCAGCAAAGAGCAAGUAACCCACAGCAAGUACAGGGUGCUAUUCAAGAGGGGGUUAAUGACCUAGUUGACAAACUUGUUGAAGAGAAGGUCACGGCAGCUAUCAGAAAGGGAGGAAAAAACGGUUUCCAAAGGAGAGGUCCAAGGCCCACGGAUUUAUGCAGAAAGUGCAAAAGAAAGGGACAUUGGGCAAGAGACUGCCUAUCCGUAACGGGGAAUAAUUUGAACAAGAACAAGGCUGGCGGAACACCCCGACACCAGCCUCGAGAAUACAAAAGCGGGUCAACACAGUGCAGACAGGGUGUCGACGACACUCAUACAAAGUUAAGGCAAAGGUGAACCAAGUGAAGUGCACCUUUUUGAUCGACACAGGCGCAGAGCCAGGUACAACUCCAGUGAAGCAACAGCUGCGCAGAAUACCCUUUGCAUACAGGGAAGAAGUAAAGGCAGACCUAAAGGCUAUGCUGGAGGACGGUGUUAUUGAGAAGUCAUCAUCAGAAUGGGCAAGUCCACUAGCCAUUGUUCGAAAACCAUCGGGGGGGCCUUAGAAUAUUUGUAGAUUACAGAAAGCUCAAUGAAGGUACGCGGGUUACCAGCUACCCCUUGCCCAACAUCACCGAGUCCUUAGACCAUCUGGCCGACGCAUCUUACUUCACAACGAUCGAUAUGGUGUCUGGGUAUCACCAAGUUGAAGUUGCACCCGAGGACAGAGCUAAGACAGCUUUUACAACCCCGUUUGGAUUGUACCAGUACUGUCGCAUGCCCUUUUGGCCUGGCAGGGGCACCUGGAACGUUCCAAUCAGUAGUAGAGGAUAUGUUGCAAGUUCUAGAUGCAGUUGCUAUGAUGGCCUAUUUAGACGACGUCAUCUGUUUCCACUCUAGCUUUGAAGACCAUCUGGUUUUAAGCUGUCGGGUAAGAAGUACCAGUUUGCAACAAGAUCAGUGAAGUUCCUGGGUCAUGUCAUUGACCAGAACGGUGUCAGGCCUCAACCAGAGAAGUAAGAUAUCAUCCGUCAGUGGGAGACCCCAACCAACAAAGAAGAGCUGCGGAAGUUCAUCGGUGUGUGUACAUUCUGGAGACGCUUUGUAAAAUGCUUUUCAGAGGUUGCUGCCCCACUUCAUGAUCUGCUCAAUAAGCAGGACUUCUACCGGUCCCCAGAAUGUGAUCAGGCGUUUGAGAGCUUGAAACAUCUGUUGUGUACGUCAGUCACACUGUCUCUACCAUCUCAACAUGGACGGUUCGCAGUGACGUGUGAUGCCUCUAACUGGGCCAUCGGAUACUAUCUAGAGCAGACAGACAGAGAGGGAGUGAAGCGACCGGUGGCGUUCUGAGGAAGAAAGCUAAACAAAGCUGAAUGCAACUACUCUACCACAAAGAAAGAAUGCCUUGCGGUUAUCCAGGCCCUGAAAGAUUAUGGCCCAUGCCUACUAGGCAAGGAGUUUGAUCUCUAUACUGACCACCACCAGUCCCUAGAGUGGCUCUUGACUAGAAAACAAAAACAUAAUGGCCGGCUAUGGAGAUGGGUGGAUAAGUUCAGAGAGUUUCAGUGCAAGGUGAACCACAUUCCUGGCUCGAAAAACACGAUUGGAGAUGCAUUGAGUAGAAUUCAGAAUGUAACCACUAGUGAUGUUGCAGAGUGGUCGAUGGAGUACAUAGUUGAGCAACAGGACAGUUGUCCAGUCACUAAGGAAGUGAAGCUGUGGUUAUUACACAAGCCACCGGCUCAACAGGACGUGCAAGGAAAGGAGCUCCGAGCACUCUACAAGGAAAUUCUUAACUUAACUCUGGGUAAGGAUAGUGUGCUUCGACACGAAAGAGAACAGAAUAGAGGUGUUACCCAAGUCGUGAUUCCAUCUACUCUGACGAAAUGGUGUUG